UUUUGUAGAAUGAACCGGCGAGUUACGAUUUGAUGCAAGGUUAAGCAGUAAAUGUGGAGCCGUAGCGAAAGCGAGUCUGAAUAGGGCGUUUAGUAUUUGGUCGUAGACCCGAAACCAGGUGAUCUACCCUUGGUCAGGUUGAAGUUCAGGUAACACUGAAUGGAGGACCGAACCGACUUACGUUGAAAAGUGAGCGGAUGAACUGAGGGUAGCGGAGAAAUUCCAAUCGAACCUGGAGAUAGCUGGUUCUCUCCGAAAUAGCUUUAGGGCUAGCCUCAAGUGAUGAUUAUUGGAGGUAGAGCACUGUUUGGACGAGGGGCCCCUCUCGGGUUACCGAAUUCAGACAAACUCCGAAUGCCAAUUAAUUUAACUUGGGAGUCAGAACAUGGGUGAUAAGGUCCGUGUUCGAAAGGGAAACAGCCCAGACCACCAGCUAAGGUCCCAAAAUAUAUGUUAAGUGGAAAAGGAUGUGGCGUUGCCCAGACAACUAGGAUGUUGGCUUAGAAGCAGCCAUCAUUUAAAGAGUGCGUAAUAGCUCACUAGUCGAGUGACACUGCGCCGAAAAUGUACCGGGGCUAAACAUAUUACCGAAGCUGUGGAUUGUCCUUUGGACAAUGGUAGGAGAGCGUUCUAAGGGCGUUGAAGCAUGAUCGUAAGGACAUGUGGAGCGCUUAGAAGUGAGAAUGCCGGUGUGAGUAGCGAAAGACGGGUGAGAAUCCCGUCCACCGAUUGACUAAGGUUUCCAGAGGAAGGCUCGUCCGCUCUGGGUUAGUCGGGUCCUAAGCUGAGGCCGACAGGCGUAGGCGAUGGAUAACAGGUUGAUAUUCCUGUACCACCUAUAAUCGUUUUAAUCGAUGGGGGGACGCAGUAGGAUAGGCGAAGCGUGCGAUUGGAUUGCACGUCUAAGCAGUAAGGCUGAGUAUUAGGCAAAUCCGGUACUCGUUAAGGCUGAGCUGUGAUGGGGAGAAGACAUUGUGUCUUCGAGUCGUUGAUUUCACACUGCCGAGAAAAGCCUCUAGAUAGAAAAUAGGUGCCCGUACCGCAAACCGACACAGGUAGUCAAGAUGAGAAUUCUAAGGUGAGCGAGCGAACUCUCGUUAAGGAACUCGGCAAAAUGACCCCGUAACUUCGGGAGAAGGGGUGCUCUUUAGGGUUAACGCCCAGAAGAGCCGCAGUGAAUAGGCCCAAGCGACUGUUUAUCAAAAACACAGGUCUCUGCUAAACCGUAAGGUGAUGUAUAGGGGCUGACGCCUGCCCGGUGCUGGAAGGUUAAGAGGAGUGGUUAGCUUCUGCGAAGCUACGAAUCGAAGCCCCAGUAAACGGCGGCCGUAACUAUAACGGUCCUAAGGUAGCGAAAUUCCUUGUCGGGUAAGUUCCGACCCGCACGAAAGGCGUAACGAUUUGGGCACUGUCUCAACGAGAGACUCGGUGAAAUCAUAGUACCUGUGAAGAUGCAGGUUACCCGCGACAGGACGGAAAGACCCCGUGGAGCUUUACUGUAGCCUGAUAUUGAAAUUCGGCACAGCUUGUACAGGAUAGGUAGGAGCCUUUGAAACGUGAGCGCUAGCUUACGUGGAGGCGCUGGUGGGAUACUACCCUAGCUGUGUUGGCUUUCUAACCCGCACCACUUAUCGUGGUGGGAGACAGUGUCAGGCGGGCAGUUUGACUGGGGCGGUCGCCUCCUAAAAGGUAACGGAGGCGCUCAAAGGUUCCCUCAGAAUGGUUGGAAAUCAUUCAUAGAGUGUAAAGGCAUAAGGGAGCUUGACUGCGAGACCUACAAGUCGAGCAGGGUCGAAAGACGGACUUAGUGAUCCGGUGGUUCCGCAUGGAAGGGCCAUCGCUCAACGGAUAAAAGCUACCCCGGGGAUAACAGGCUUAUCUCCCCCAAGAGUUCACAUCGACGGGGAGGUUUGGCACCUCGAUGUCGGCUCAUCGCAUCCUGGGGCUGUAGUCGGUCCCAAGGGUUGGGCUGUUCGCCCAUUAAAGCGGUACGCGAGCUGGGUUCAGAACGUCGUGAGACAGUUCGGUCCCUAUCCGUCGUGGGCGUAGGAAAUUUGAGAGGAGCUGUCCUUAGUACGAGAGGACCGGGAUGGACAUACCUCUGGUGUACCAGUUGUCGUGCCAACGGCAUAGCUGGGUAGCUAUGUGUGGACGGGAUAAGUGCUGAAAGCAUCUAAGCAUGAAGCCCCCCUCAAGAUGAGAUUUCCCAACUUCGGUUAUAAGAUCCCUCAAAGAUGAUGAGGUUAAUAGGUUCGAGGUGGAAGCAUGGUGACAUGUGGAGCUGACGAAUACUAAUCGAUCGAAGACUUAAUCAA
rnacentral:rRNA from 1 species